UACGUAGGGGGCAAGCGUUGUCCGGAAUCAUUGGGCGUAAAGCGCGUGUAGGCGGUCCGGUAAGUCCGCUGUGAAAGUCCAGGGCUCAACCCUGGGAUGCCGGUGGAUACUGUCGGGCUAGAGUACGGGAAGAGGCGAGUGGAAUUCCCGGUGUAGCGGUGAAAUGCGCAGAUAUCGGGAAGGAACACCAAUUGCGAAGGCAGCUCGCUGGGACGUUACUGACGCUGAGACGGCGAAAGCGUGGGGAGCAAACAGG
rnacentral:rRNA from 1 species